CCUACGGGAGGCAGCAGUGAGGAAUAUUGGUCAAUGGUCGGGAGACUGAACCAGCCAAGCCGCGUGAGGGAUGAAGGUACAGAGUAUCGUAAACCUCUUUUGUCAGGGAACAAAGGCGGGGACGUGUCCCCGGAUGAGUGUACCUGAAGAAAAAGCAUCGGCUAACUCCGUGCCAGAAGCCGCGGUAAUACGGAGGAUGCGAGCGUUAGCCGGAUUUAUUGGGUUUAAAGGGUGCGCAGGCGGUCUGUUAAGUCAGCGGGAAAAGCCCGGGGCUCAACCCCGGCCCGCCGUUGAAACUGGCAGUCUCGAGUUGGAGAGAAGUAUGCGGAAUGCGCGGUGUAGCGGUGAAAUGCAUAGAUAUCGCGCAGAACUCCGAUUGCGAAGGCAGCAUGCCGGCUCCACACUGACGCUGAGGCACGAAAGCGUGGGUAUCGAACAGGAUUAGAUACCCCUGUAGUC
rnacentral:rRNA from 1 species